GAUGAACGCUGGCGGCGUGCUUAACACAUGCAAGUCGAACGAUGAAGCCCAGCUUGCUGGGUGGAUUAGUGGCGAACGGGUGAGUAACACGUGAGUAACCUGCCCUUAACUCUGGGAUAAGCCUGGGAAACUGGGUCUAAUACCGGAUAGGAGCGUCCACCGCAUGGUGGGUGUUGGAAAGAUUUAUCGGUUUUGGAUGGACUCGCGGCCUAUCAGCUUGUUGGCGAGGUAAUGGCUCACCAAGGCGACGACGGGUAGCCGGCCUGAGAGGGUGACCGGCCACACUGGGACUGAGACACGGCCCAGACUCCUACGGGAGGCAGCAGUGGGGAAUAUUGCACAAUGGGCGCAAGCCUGAUGCAGCGACGCCGCGUGAGGGAUGAAGGCCUUCGGGUUGUAAACCUCUUUCAGUAGGGAAGAAGCGAAAGUGACGGUACCUGCAGAAGAAGCACCGGCUAACUACGUG
rnacentral:rRNA from 1 species